rnacentral:sRNA from 1 species
GCCAGCGAGAGAGCGUUGCCGCAGGCAACGACCCGAAGGGCGAAGCGCGCAGCGCUGAGUAAUCCUUCCCCCACCACCA